rnacentral:misc_RNA from 1 species
CGUUGUCCUUGUCCUGGUGGUACUGAAAAUUGCAAUUGCAAUGGAUGGAUACAUGAGGAGAUGGUUUGGUUCAUACGUCAGUCAGAAAUGCUGCAUGCAGAUGUACUCUAUGCUGUGCUUGCUAUAUAGAUUGUCCACAGUUCAUCACAACAAUCUGGAUGGAUAGUCGAAAUAUAAUGCUACUAACAGCUACAGCCGAGGAUCUUUUUUUUAACUAUUGCAUUACUCUCUUUGUCGUGCUUGAUGAUAGAUAGGUAGAUCAAUAAUGCAAUUGCACGUUGCCUGUUGGUCCCCUUUAUCUGAACUGUACGCUUUCAGCUCUAUUGGCUCUGCUACUGUGCUACCUCCAAAACGGAUUCUGAUUUCUGAUCCUGAGGAUUUCCGCAUUGCAGGUUGCUGCCUAGAAUGCUGCGUCGUUUAGCUAGAAAUCCCUUACCAGCUAUCGAUUUAUUACAGCCGCUGGAAAGGCUUUGCUAUGCUGAAAGUUCAACAAGCAACAACGCAAGCAGAGCAUCUGAGUGGCAAUCUCGCCUGCAGCCUGCAGGCAACAAGAUCCACCCACCCCUGGCUGUUCUCGCGAGAUCCCAAGCCCCAGAAACCGAACCACUGGCGCUGCACCGAACAGCAACAGAAAGCAGCAAGGCGGACUGCGGAGUGCGGACAGGCAUGGCGACGGCGCGCGCGUGCACUGCACGUACGUACCCGGAGCACGAAGUUGUUCCAGAC